GACGAGCUCGCGGCAGAUUAGCUUGUUGGCGGGGUAAUGGCCCACCAAGGCGACGAUCUGUAGCUGGUCUGAGAGGACGAUCAGCCACACUGGGACUGAGACACGGCCCAGACUCCUACGGGAGGCAGCAGUGGGGAAUCUUGCGCAAUGGGCGAAAGCCUGACGCAGCGAUGCCGCGUGAGGGAAGAAGGCCUUCGGGUUGUAAACCUCUUUCAGGAGGGACGAAGCUACUCGGGUGAAUAGCCCAGAGGGUGACGGUACCUCCAGAAGAAGCCCCGGCUAACUACGUGCCAGCAGCCGCGGUAAUACGUAGGGGGCAAGCGUUGUCCGGAUUUAUUGGGCGUAAAGAGCGUGUAGGCGGCCUGGAAGGUCAGCUGUGAAAACUCGAGGCUCAACCUCGAGACGUCGGUUGAAACCACCUGGCUAGAGUCCGGAAGAGGAGUGUGGAAUUCCCGGUGUAGCGGUGAAAUGCGCAGAUAUCGGGAAGAACACCCGUGGCGAAGGCGGCACUCUGGGACGGUACUGACGCUGAGACGCGAAAGCGUGGGGAGCGAACAGGAUUAGAUACCCUGGUAGUCCACGCCGUAAACGAUGGGUGCUAGGUGU
rnacentral:rRNA from 1 species